rnacentral:rRNA from 1 species
CCAAGCGAAUCGCAUGGCCUUGAGCCGGGCGAUGGGUUCAUUCAAAUUUCUGCCCUAUCAACUUUCGAUGGUAAGGUCGUGGCCUACCAUGGUAUCAACGGGUAACGGGGAAUUAGGGUUCGAUUCCGGAGAGGGAGCCUGAGAAACGGCUACCACAUCCAAGGAAGGCAGCAGGCGCGCAAAUUACCCAAUCCCAACACGGGGAGGUAGUGACAAUAAAUACUGAUACAGGGCUCUUUUGGGCCUUGUAAUUGGAAUGAGUACAAUUCAAAUCCCUUAACGAGGAACAAUUGGAGGGCAAGUCUGGUGCCAGCAGCCGCGGUAAUUCCAGCUCCAAUAGCGUAUAUUAAAGUUGUUGCAGUUAAAAAGCUCGUAGUUGAAACUUGGGCCAGGCCGGCCGGUCCGCCUAACCGCGUGCACUGGUUCGGCCGGGCCCUUCCCUCUGGGGAACCGCAUGCCCUUCACUGGGCGUGUCGGGGAACCAGGACUUUUACUUUGAAAAAAUUAGAGUGUUCAAAGCAGGCCUAUGCUCGGAUACAUUAGCAUGGAAUAAUAAAAUAGGACGUGCGGUCCUAUUUUGUUGGUUUCUAGAACCGCCGUAAUGAUUAAUAGGGACAGUCGGGGGCGUCCGUAUUCUGCCGCGAGAGGUGAAAUUCUUAGACCGGCUGAAGACGAUCUACUGCGAAAGCAUUCGCCAAGGAUGUUUUCAUUAAUCAGUGAACGAAAGUUGGGGGAUCGAAGACGAUCAGAUACCGUCGUAGUCUCAACCGUAAACUAUGCCGACUAGGGAUCGGGCGGCGUUCAAAUCUUGACCCGCCCGGCACCUUACGAGAAAUCAAAGUCUUUGGG